rnacentral:rRNA from 1 species
AACGUAGGGGACAAGCGUUAUCCGGAUUUACUGGGCGUAAAGCGCCCGUAGGCGGCCUGAUAAGUUGGCUGUGAAAGCUCCCGGCUUAACUGGGAGAGGUCAGUCAAAACUGUCAGGCUGGAGGCUGAAAGAGGCGAGCGGAAUUCCCGGUGUAGUGGUGGAAUGCGUAGAGAUCGGGAGGAACACCAGUGGCGCAAGCGGCUCGCUGGUUCAGCCCUGACGCUGAGGGGCGAAAGCGUGGGGAGCGAACGGG